rnacentral:rRNA from 1 species
UGGGGAAUCUUGCGCAAUGGGGGAAACCCUGACGCAGCGACGCCGCGUGGGCGAAGAAGGCCUUCGGGUUGUAAAGCCCUGUGGGGCGGGAAGAAAGCUUGCGGGUGAACAAUCCGCGAGGGUGACGGUACCGCCUUAGCAAGCACCGGCUAACUCUGUGCCAGCAGCCGCGGUAAGACAGAGGGUGCAAACGUUGCUCGGAAUUACUGGGCGUAAAGCGCGUGUAGGCGGCUUCGCAAGUCCGGUGUGAAAGCCCUUCGCUCAACGAGGGAAGCGCAUUGGAAACUACGAAGCUGGAGUCCUGGAGGGGAGAGCGGAAUUCUCGGUGUAGAGGUGAAAUUCGUAGAUAUCGGGAGGAACACCAGUGGCGAAGGCGGCUCUCUGGACAGGAACUGACGCU